rnacentral:rRNA from 1 species
UACGGAGGGUGCGAGCGUUGUCCGGAAUCACUGGGCGUAAAGGGCGCGUAGGUGGCCUGUGGAAGUCUGCGGUGAAAGCCCGGCGCUCAACGCCGGGUCGGCCGUGGAUACUCUCGGGCUCGAGCUCACUAGAGGCAGAUGGAAUUCCGGGUGUAGCGGUGGAAUGCGUAGAGAUCCGGAAGAACACCGGUGGCGAAGGCGGUCUGCUGGGGUGAUGCUGACACUGAUGCGCGACAGCGUGGGGAGCAAACAGGAUU